GCCAGCGAGCGUUCCGAAGCGGGUGGAGGCGCACAGAGGCGGAGUUUCGCGGCCACAGCGCCGUUCAACUUAUCAGAGACCUCCCACGUCUGGUUCUCCGCCUCCAACGGUUGGAACAACCAAAAAUUCUCGAGAUUGUAUGAAAAACUCCACAAAUGGCGCAAUGCGUUGGGUGGAUUAUUUUUAUUGAGACUGGAGAAAAAAGCAACAGUUACAUGAAUAAGGAUGUCUGACUAUUCAUGGUUGUUGAUCUGUUGGGACGUUAUUUGUUAUACUUCCAGCAGCAAGUUUGUAAAGAGGUACAAGGUGACUUCAGUAUAAAUUAAAUUCUCCUAGGAAUUACCAGUUUGUCAAUGAGAUUAAACUGUCCUGAGGUGAAAAUUCCUCAAAGCCUGUUCUGUUCGGUAUUCUUCAACCUCCACCACCACAAAACAUGUACAUAUUGGUGUGCUCUACUUUGUAAAGAAUUGGUCCAACACGAGUCAUCAAGUGCAAUUAUGUAACCGGUGCUCAGGUGGCGUUUAAGAAAUCAUAUUAGGCAACCGUGUUUUGCACGAUAAUCAUUACCUACAAUCCUACUGGAAUUAAGGUCGCCGAAAGAAACGCUGAACUGAUUGGAAAAUGCCUGGUCAGGAUUUCAUUGCGCCCGGUCUGACCAUAGAGUUGCCGUUUCCACUGUGCCGGUUUCAAUUAGCGCGCACGCGUUCCUUUGGAUCGAUACCUUUUCUCAUAGCUUGUAUCUACACAUAAAAAGCUUCCUCUAAUCAAAAAGAACAAUCAUUAUACUUAGAUUAUAUUCUACAUCGAUAUAUACAUAAGUUAUGAAGCAUACAUUUGUAGAAAUUAAUUUCUGUUGAAAACUAAAGAUUGAUAAACUGUUUGUAGAAUUAUAAAUCUUUAAUAUGAUGAAACCUUUUGACUGCAAAAGCGAGAUAUGUGUAACCAAUUGAUCCAUUAAAAACGUGUUUCUGAUCAGGUUCCGUUUUUCGUGUUACAGGCAGCAUCGGGGAUGUUCAUUUAACAGGAUAGAGGGGAAGGAAAAACGGUCGCCAUAUUUUGGGCGGAGACUGCGAUACAUUUGCCUGUUUCAUUGGAUGAAAAGAUCGAUCUGGUGCAUCAGCUGCACGCGCCUGCCCAGUGAACAUUCUCUGAUACCUUGUGACUCGUUUCACUUAGCGGGAGUACUGUACCGAGUACCAUUUCAACCCCCUAAAAGCGAUACUCAUUGCUUUGUAGAAAAAUUGUACGCUUCGAGUACCUUCAUUGGAAGAAAACUGUACUGAAACAUUUUCCAGACAGCUCUGGAAUAGUCUUAUGGAGGUAGGAUUCAGAGGAACAACGAUGCAUUUAUUCUGGUGAAGUUUCUGAGAGCCAGUUUCUUUUCACGGUGUCGCUAUCGGAAUCGAAAUCUCCGGCCAAAUAAACAGCGCACGAGUUCCCAGCCAUUGAUCAUAAUGGUUAGAAACAAUUUGAAAGAAGUGGCCAUGAAAUAUUCGACCAGUGGUCAUUGACCACAAAAUAGACAUCCAACAUCAAGCAUUGAGGAAGUCAAGAAAUAAACUUUCUUUAAACAAUCGGCUUGUCCUUGUGGACAAGACUUGAAAGAGUAGAAAUUAAUUAAGAAAUACACCUAUCCGCCUAUGAAUCUUCAUCAUCAGUGAAUUAGUCUAGAAAAAUAUCCAUUUCUGACUAUGUUCUUCAAAUAUAUUCAAGUCAACUAUUCUACAACAUAAUUUAUAAUUAGAUUUUUGUACAUUACGAUUCUUAUUGAUUUCAUACAUUGACUGAAGAUAAGAAAUUUGAACGGAUAGUUAAAAUUUCAAUUAGGUCCAAUUAGUUGAAAAAAGAAGAAGAAAAACGACAGCCGGAUAUUUUUCAAUGGUGAUAACGGAUUGUUGAUCGAAGGCUAAGACUCACCGGGCUGAAUGUUGUCACUGUAACAGUGUAUUGUUAGAGCAGUACAAUGAGCGUGUUUAACAAUACCGGCGACUGAUCCGGCCGAUUGUUUCCUCGCCUCUUAACGUUACUGUUGCCAUUAGCCGCGGCGAUUGCGAUUAAUUCGCUACUAAAACAACGUGCGCCUUGCCUGUCCAAUUAUUAUCACGUGCACGAUACUCUAUUACAUGCGAACUAAUCAUAUCGAAAGGAAUAUAUUGAGACUCCAGACAAUUUGUUGCAAAUUAUUUUCAACUAGACCGUCGAUAUUUUUUAUUAUCUUGGAUCAUUAUGAACAAAGGAUAAGGUCACGCUUAUGAAGGGACGAUAAAUUAUUAGGAAACUCAAUCCUUCGAACCCUUUAAAAAUUAUGACUGACCCAACAAGCGUAAGGAAACACGAGGAAAAAGAGAAUUCUUGUUUUGAUUAGGGAAUGUCAAAGCAAACUGACUCCGGAACACUGGGCUGCCCUUUCUUUCAGUCUCUCCCUACCAAUUUUAUUGGCUUUUUAUGGUGGUUUGUCAUGACUGGUCGUGGUCACGUUCUACAGUCUACAGUAACGCAUUGCAAGCUAUUGUGUCAUGGUUGUAUGUACUUCUUAACUUGUUAAGGGAAGUACAGAAACGUAGAAUUGUUUAAAAUUGUUGACUCCUUCUUUUUUUAAUUAGAUCUCGUGUCACUUUAUUUAGGUAUAAUACAAUAGUAUGUACAAUACAAUACAGAGUACAAAAUACGCAUAUUAAACUGUAACAAUAAUACUAUUACAGAAUAUACUAUAU